rnacentral:rRNA from 1 species
AUUGAACGCUGGCGGCAUGCCUUACACAUGCAAGUCGAACGGUAACAGGUUAAGCUGACGAGUGGCGAACGGGUGAGUAAUGUAUCGGAACGUGCCCAGUCGUGGGGGAUAACUGCUCGAAAGAGCAGCUAAUACCGCAUACGACCUGAGGGUGAAAGCGGGGGAUCGCAAGACCUCGCGCGAUUGGAGCGGCCGAUAUCAGAUUAGGUAGUUGGUGAGGUAAAGGCUCACCAAGCCGACGAUCUGUAGCUGGUCUGAGAGGACGACCAGCCACACUGGGACUGAGGCACGGCCCAGACUCCUACGGGAGGCAGCAGUGGGGAAUUUUGGACAAUGGGCGCAAGCCUGAUCCAGCCAUGCCGCGUGCGGGAAGAAGGCCUUCGGGUUGUAAACCGCUUUUGUCAGGGAAGAAAAGGUUCUGGCUAAUACCUGGGACUCAUGACGGUACCUGAAGAAUAAGCACCGGCUAACUACGU